ensembl:lincRNA F730035P03Rik RIKEN cDNA F730035P03 gene
GUGGCCCUGAUGUGGAGAAGGGCUUUUGCUUCCUCUCUUAGUUUGUUCAUGACCUUGUGCAGUAUGGCAUGGCAGUGUGCACAGAGUGCAGACAACCAGAUGGACUGGAGUGGAAGGCAGACAGCCCAAGAGAAGGCUAAGACCCAUCAUCAAAGGAGGAAGCUGCUACAGAUGUGUAGUCUCAUCUGUAUGGGAGACACAAGACCAUCAGAAGGAAACAGAAGGAGGAAUUCUUGUCUUCAGGCUACACGAUCAGAUGUGAAGGGAAAGGAUUGAGAUGGUGGCUGUGGAUGAGGGAUGGCUGUGACCAUGGACCAGACAGACCAUUAUGACUACAUGGAUGGAACUGUAGCCCUCCAUCUUGUUCUCUGUCCAUACCCCUUCAGGCCACAUUUCCUCUUUCCCAAGCUUUUCUUCUCCAUCAGCUGCUCAGCCUGGAAAUCCUUUCUUGUCCUUGUGUGCACCAAUUCAGAUGGUCCCAGAUGCAGUUCUCUUGCUGUGGGGGAUCCUUAGAGACACUUGUGCUGUAGGAGUGGGAAACAGGAACAAACAGAAUCAUUUCCCUUGCAUCCCAACUCCUAAAGAUGGUGUCAGAAGGGGAGGAUUCUGGGUAAAGGAGAGGAAAAGAUCAUACGGAAGUCUUGAAACCAUAUUGACUGUUCAGUGUGUGCCACUCAUCCUGCCCUUCCUCUUUCCAGAGACUGACUUGGGAGUGUUAGGAAGACAUCCCAGUGAUUGGUUCUGCAUGUGAAGAACAUGCAGGGGCAGAAGGGGGCUCUGCUGCAAACUAACCAAAACAUUUUUGGUUGCAAGUGACAGAAAACUACCCAGCAGUAGUGCUCAGAGUCUUGUUUGAAAGAACUGAGAACUCCUUUGGUUGAUUUAGUCAAACAAAAGUUUUAUUAAAGGAACAAUUCC